UACGUAGGUGGCAAGCGUUAUCCGGAUUUACUGGGUGUAAAGGGCGUGUAGGCGGGGACGCAAGUCAGAUGUGAAAACCACGGGCUCAACCUGUGGCCUGCAUUUGAAACUGUGUUUCUUGAGUACUGGAGAGGCAGACGGAAUUCCUAGUGUAGCGGUGAAAUGCGUGGAUAUUAGGAGGAACGCCAGUGGCGAAGGCGGUCUGCUGGACAGCAACUGACGCUGAGGCGCGAAAGCGUGGGGAGCAAACAGG
rnacentral:rRNA from 1 species